CCGUGCAAAGAUCACGUGAAAUUGCUUUGAUACCACGUGUGACGACCCGGCCGGACCCUAGGGCGAACCAUAGGGUUAAGCGGAUCGCUUGUCUGACUUUUGCCAGGAGUCACUCACUCACAUUAACUUGAGAGAUAACAUUCCACUAACUAAAACCAUUAACCGUCCAUUACACUUAAUUAAGUACAUUCCAAAAUAAGCAAAGUUGUCUUAGCCUACAACAUUUUAUAUGUAUAUAUCCCUUGAAGAUAAAAGUGAGAAUAACUAUAACAUUUAAGUACAAAAGAAAUCUUCCAAGUACAAAUUCGGGUCUCAGUUUAACUCUUGGCUACUCCACACUCCCCUCUUCCCCUCCUGUAAGGAAAACAAAUAAAAUGGGUUGAACAAAACCCAGUGAGGUUUCCAUACAAGCAACAAUCAAUUAAACACUUAAGCUAGUAACAAAAUUAAGCAAGUAAGGAACACUUCACUGAAUAAAGUAAAGAACACUUCGCUGAACAAUCACUUUUAAAAGGAUACAGUGCUCACAUUAGAGCCACUUCAAUGCACUACAUGCUUCGCCGAACUCCUCCUCAUAACCCCCACUUCCCUCACUCAAAUGGCCAUAUCAGUAAUCUGCUAUUCCGUGGUAAUACUUGAGCAUACCGAAUCAUUUACCCAAAGCUACCAUCCUAUCCGACCAAACCCUUUGCUGGCUCGAAUAAUCUGUUGAACAGAGGAUUUUGGGGCCCAGUUCAGCUGAUGCGGUAAAGUACAUACUCGGCUUACAAUCAUGUACACCUAUGGUAAUACUUGGUCAAUUAUCAACCUUCAAACUCAAACUAAGUUGGGUACAAUAAAGUACACUCCCGACUUAGAAUGCAAGGAACAAUUGAAAACACUUUACAAUAAAGCACUAGCAAAAUCACAUAAACAUCACUUAAGUAACACAUAGGCAAUUUAAACACACAAAUGUGAAAACACCCACCCAAAGUAGUUGGAGUUCACUCCUCACUCCUCAGUACUCAGUCCCUCCUCCGGAUCACUCUUGGCCUCUGGGACAUUUGUAAAUUUAUUAGAUUAUUUGUUAAAUUUCCUAAAGCUGGGAUUUCCAACCAUAUAUCUUUACCAAAAUUUCAUUCAAUGCAUCAGACAUUAACCAAACUCGACAUGCAUUCACAUAAACAUUACAAUAAGACCAUGUAGCUUCAAAAUCCAGCAAAAAUUUCUCAUCAAAUUCCAUUUUUAAACUAAAAUCUCAGCUAAUGCUCCAUCGGACAUGUCGCGCCCCACUUUUUGAAUGGAUGUUGUUUGUGGUGGUGUGUGAGGCCCCAGUUCGUUCUACGUCAAGAUAUUCAUUAAAUGGGCGGUAACGUUUGGUUUUGGGAGUAUUUCGAAAACCCUAAGUAGGGAUUAAGAUUUAAACCCUAAGUUCCGGUUAAGAUUGAAAACCCGUUUUUCUACAUUUUCUUUAUUAGAAAAUGCCCCAGAUAAUUUUAUUUGAGUAAAUAGAGUUUUUAGAUGAUUUUUCUAGUAUUAGUUAGUUUUUGAGGAAUUAAGAACGUAUAUCGGACGUGGGACCCACUAGUGCGAAAAGUUCGGAAAAAUUCGGCCAAUAAGGUUAAGUUUCGGAUACUGUGUAAAAUUUAUCGGGUGUUAAGAGAUAAGUGGAGUGUGUGAAAUGAUUGAUGUGAGAGAGAAAAGAAAGGAUAGGAAUGCAUUAAUGGUGGUGACAAGUGUCACCAUUUCAUUGGAGAAGACUUAUGAAUUACUAUUUCAUUUUUUUUGACUUUUGACCAAGUUGUUAAAUAUCUUCAAAAAUCACCAAAAUUCACCAUUUUCUUUUCCCUCCAAGGCCGGCUCUCCCUUGGGCUAAGAAGAAAGAAAUACCACACCAUUUUAGCUUCCAUUUGGUUCAAUCUUCCAAAAACAAUUGCCUAGAUUAGUUCUACUCCAUAAAAUCUUUCUAGUUGGUGUUAGUGGUUGAUUUGGUGAAGCUUUUUGGAAGAGUUAAGGUGUCCAACAUCUCUACCUCUCUUGUUACUAGGUGAGUGGUGUGUGUAUCUUCCUCCUUCACUUAAUAAAGCUUAGGUUAUGCUUAGUAGUGGCUAAAGUGAUGAUAUAUAUGGUUUAUUUCUUGGUUUGAAGUGAUUUGGUGAAGUUUUUAUUUUAUUGAUGAUUUUUCUGGUUUAAUUGGAUUAUGAUGGUGUGGUUGGUUAUGAUGAUUGGCAAUGGCCUAUAAAGACUCUAAUAGGUGUGAAUUAGUGAUAAUUGCAAUCAAUUUUGGAUUUGGAAGAAUUUCUGGAAAAUUAGGGUUCAUGGUUGGACAUUCUGUCCGAAAUUUUAGGUCAUAGAUAGAGGCCGAAUUGGACUUUGCUCAAAACAUGAAAGUUUUAGGUAUUGAUGAGUUUGAUGUGCCUGCAAAAUUUCAGGGCAUUUGGAGUAGUAUAGAGUGAGUUAUGCCGUUUUUACUGUUGCUGUUUUUGGUGAACAGAAUGUCCGAACUGCGAUAGUAAUUGCCUGUUUUGACUGGAAUUGGUUUGGAUUUUGUUGUUGGUGUCUUCUGAUGAAAUGUAUCUUGAUGUCUUAACUUUCAUAUGCCUUUAGAAUCAAUGCAUUUGGACCUGUAUAGACUGACUUGGACUGAUUACAGUUUUGUGUGAUUUGGGAACCUGCAAUUACGGUUCUGGGUUGGUAUUCUGCAUAUUUGACCUAGUUGUGCUAGGAUUUGGACUGAGAGGCCUUCUACAUUGUUGUAGCCCCUUAAGUCCUGGAUAUCCCUGUAAAUUUUCAGAAUUAACGGAGUGGUAUAACCUGAGUUAGAAACGAAAUACUCCGACCUGUUUUGACAGUCCAAUUCUGUUCUGUUCUUAUAUCCGGACAGUUUACGACUGGAACUUUGGCUUCACUUUUGACUAGGUUACAAGCUGUUUGGGCUUGCGACCAAAACACCAAACUUAUAGCUCUAUAUCAGAGCUUUCUAACGCCCUUGGAAUUUCAUGAAUCGGAUUUAUAAAACCUGAGAUAUAGCCGAGCAAAUAAGGCCUGCCCGUGAAAAUGACCAUUUUCUGGUCAGAUCUGUUUUGGUCCGGAUGACCAACUUCCGUUCCGAAUUUGGAUUGCCGACCUUCAUGAAAGUUGUUCCAUUUGGAAUGAACUACCUAACUGCCAAUUUUCAACUCUUUUUCCCAUGUGUAGCAUAGAAAACAGUUUGCACUCAAAACUGACCAUUUGUGCAUUGGCCAGAUUUCGUAAGUGAUUGUGUUCGGUUCAUUUGGGGCUGAAGCCUCCAGUUUCAGUUCUGGAUGUCUUCAUAACAGUUGUUGUUCAUCCUUUAAGCUUCGAUUUGGCAUCUCAUACGCCUUAAUCCGAUAUUCGUAGCUCAACUUAUGAUUACAAUAGAAACGAGUAUCAAAUCUGCCGUUUCCGUUUCCGUCCGUCAUAUUUACGUGCGCGCGUGUCAUUUUGCCGUUUUGCUUGUUUUGGAUCUGUUCGUAGUCGUUUGUGAUAUUAUGUGAUAAAAUCUUCUAUUUCAGACCGUGGUGAGUUAGGCGGAGCCGGUGGGGCCCACUACUAGCGAAAACGCGCGAAGCGAUUUUGUUCUUGUACUGCUUUUGGUAUUUUGAGUAAGUAUUCAGGCCAGUUUGAUGUGUUUUCUUUGCUAUGUGGUUGAGAUAUGUGAAAAGGGUACUUAGGCGAGGGUGUACUUUAUCGCACUCGACCUAAACCCUAAUUUGAAUGUAUAAUUGUACUUGGCAUAUGUAUAUGACCCUUUUGGAACCAAGACCAUUGAGCUUGUGGCUCGGGGUGACUUUUGAAUAAUUUUGUGAAGUUUGUGAGUUUGCGGUUGAUCUUCCGACCUAGAUGGACUAUUCGAGCCGGUCAGGGCUUGGUCGAAGUCAGUCCAACUUAGUCUGAGGUGACCAAGUUUGUGGGUUCAUGUUAUGAACCAAUUUUGUGAAUCCGGUUCACCGAGAAGGUGACCAAGUUUGUGACCCGAGCUUGUGACUCAAGCUCAAGUUUGUGAUUUCGUUCGCCCGGGCAAGUUUGUGAGGUGACUGGCCAGUGAGGGUGAUAAGGUGUCGGUGGGUGUACAAGUGAAGUUCUACGGACCAUUGAGUGUGGUCGACGGAGUGUCGGCAGGAGAUCAUACAUGGCACAUGAAUUGGCUUUGGAGCCACCCGUAUCCUUAUUAUAUGAUGUUGAUCUUUUCUGCUUUUGCUUUACUCUUAUUGUGUAAUUGUUGCUAAGUGAAUUUAUGCUUUUGCCCCUGUUUACUUACUAAGCUUCUAACUUACCCCGUUCUCUUUGUUUUCCUUAGCAGGGGCCGACACGGGGACUUUUGGCUCGUAUACUAGUAUAGUUAGAUUGGCUUGUAAUAGUUGAACAGUUAGGAUGUUUGUUUUUAUUUUGGUGGUUUAUAUAAGAACCCUUCUUAGGGUCUAUCUUCUGCUGGUGGUGGUUAAAGUGUAUUAGAGUGGUUUGACUCGAGACUCCUGAAGUUUUUUUUUGGGAUUGUAUAUAUUGUGUAUAGUGCUCUUUUGAUCUAUCUCGUUUUAUUGCUUUAAGUUUUGAGUCCUGGCGCGAGCUAGGCAGGCGGCCCGCCGAUACCCUUGGGUUCGCCCUUGGGAGAAGUGGGGUCGUCACAUGGUGUGUGAAUAGUGUGGAAUAUAUGAACGUGUGAAAAGAAAAAUAAAAGGCCAUGGGACUUUAGAAUGCGACGAUUUGGCCAAAUGAAAUUUAAAAAGGGUUUUCAAAUAUAAAAACGGAGUCGCCACUUGGUAUAGAUUUAGGGUGUACCAAGUCACCCAAAAAUGAAUUUUUAAAGACAAGCAGUAAAAAACCCUUUUUAAAACGACUCCUAGUCCACGUAAACCAACGAAAAAGGUUCGGGAGUCACAUUUGACGAAGGGGAAGGCAAGGAUAAAAAUCCAAGGCACCCCUUCGACCUAGCCAAGGCUAGUUGCGUGAUUUAGCCCCACCUUUCCCAAUUUUUCUACCAAAAAUAUGUAUUGCAUGUUUUGGAUUUGACUAGAUGAAUGCAAAAAGAAAGAAAAAAUGCAAACCUAAAUUCUAAAAUGUCUCUUGUAAGGUUUUUGGUCCCAACCACAUGAGUUGCGGCGGCCAAUGAAGGAAAACCUUAUAGAGGUCGAUUAAUGCAAAUGAUGGCUAAAGUGCAAGUGUGCAAGUGUAUAAAAAGAUGCACGUGUGAAAUUGUAUAAAAAAUCCAAGUAUUUGUGUGCAAGUGUAUGAAAAGGUGCAUGUGUGAAAUUGUAUGAAAAAUCCAAGUGUUUGUGUGCAAGUGUAUGAAAUAUAGUGAUAAGUGCAUAUAGGUGUAAUUAAGUGCAAUUUUGUGAAGUAGAAAUCAAAAUGAACAAUAAGGAAAAGAAAAGUGAUGAGGAAAUGUGAAUUGGAAAAAAAUGAGUAAGUGAUAAAUGAGAAUGAAUGAACCUAAAGGAAUGCAUCAGGUCGGGUAUGGGAAUGACUCCUAACUUUUUCGACUUCGAUUUUCCCUUUGAUUAGAAAGCAAAACUAGCGUGCUAAGGCUAUCGAGUAGCCACACUCGCUCGUUUCCCUUAUCAGAAGGGGACUCUUCAGGCAAAUGUACCCUAACUAGCAUGAGAUGCAAGACCUAAAGUGAAGGGAAAGGGGAAUCGAGGAGCAUGCCAGAUGAUAAAACUAAGGAAAAAUGCAUGAUAUGUAGUGAACACGCAAAUAUGCACUAUCGAAAGGGACGGCCUAUUGGGUCUAGCGUUGGACUAGCCCUUUCUAUGAAUUCCUACUAGCAUUGGACUAGUGGAAACGGAACGAAGAACCACAACUAGCGUUGGACUAGUGUGGUGACGGGAAAGGGGGCCACAACUAGCAUUGGACUAGUGUGGUGACAUCCAUUCAUCUAUCACAUUCAUUCAUGACUAUAAAAAAGCGAGUAGACAUGCGAAUCACUUAUAAACACGUAGCACAUAACACUUAGCAUGCUUGACUAGAUGCAAAGGCCUAAUAAAGCAAAUUAACACAUAGCAACUAAGCAUGCAAAACACAUAAGGCAAUUAAGGCCUUUAACUAUUACAAUUGCUAACUAAAACAAAAGGGGAAAGGGAAAAUGGACCAAAUUGCUCGCCAAGCCCUAUCUAUUACAAGCCAAGAGGUGUACACAUACCCCAUAAUGAAUAACGCAAAUAAAAGGCAAAAGUAAAUGAAGUAAAUGAAAGGAAUUAAAGAAAGGCAAAGAAAGCAACGUAGACAUGCAAUUCACACUUAGCACGUUGGAUCACAUAGGAGAAAUGAAAAUCAAGGAGAUAGAGGUUACCUCCCUUGCAAUUGGCGCCCUAAUGAAGUAAAAAUGGCUUCAAAACAAUAAAAAGGUCAAGGUACCACUUUAUUUAAGAAAAAUUGAAAGAAAUGUGCAAAACAAAACUCACUUGAUCGUAAAGUCCCUAAAGUCAUGACUUAAGCGCACUUGAAACAAAGCAUGGUAGUCAAUUGAAACAAACAAACGAUGAAGUUGCACAAAUUAAAAUUACCAAGGACCAAAUUGAUGAAAUUAUUUAAUUGAUUGGGUCCUAGUGGAACAAGGAGAGACUUAGGGGCCAAAGUGCAAAUUUUUCUUUUGGUUUUCAUGCAUGCAUACGUAGAAGGCUGAAACCUUCUUUACUUUCUGCAAAAUUCUGCUGCAAGCUUUUGCAGCUUCAAACCAUGCGUAUUUCAUACCAGAAAAUGCACAAAGUUCAUUGUUUGUCAACCCAACUCAUAUGAAUCCCAAUAUCGCCAACUUUAAGCAAUAAUUAUCUAUCAUUAGUGAUCCCAACAGAGAGCAUCCAAGCAAGAAAACAAGGAAAGAAAACAGCCGAGAUUCUCAAUCUUUGCUCAAAACAUCAAACCAGAAUAUUCAAUAAAACAUGCUAAACAACCGGACCACAAAACAACCAAAAUAUUAGACAUCUGUACAAGGAUUUUCAAGGCAACAUCAUACAAUCCAUGAGGAUGCUUGCUGCAAUUCAAACAUGCUGCCAUUUCACUUUCGCACCCAAACUUCAGAUUCAAACACACACUUCAAUCAAACUUUCUUCACUAAACAUCAAAGCUCUGAUCUAGAUAGUAAGACCACUGGAAUUAAACAUCUAAACAUGCAAAAAUGAACCCCAGAAUAGGAUCACUAAGCUUUAUAGCUUUCUCCUUUAUGAUACCCUUUCACUGCAACAUUUCUGGUUGCUGUUUUUUCUUACUCCGGCACUGAACAAUGCAGCAACCAUUUACGCGCAUGAAUUCCAACAAAAGCCAACCAUUUGCCAAUUUAUCACCAUAAAAGGCAAAGCAAACAGAUCAAAACCCAUUAAAAUCCACAACCCAGCGUUGGAAAUGCAACUGCCUAUCCUAAAAAUCCCACUAUGCGGCGGGGUAAUAAAAUGCAGCGCAGAAAAAGAGAGCUUGCUGUAAGCAUAAAGUUCCAACCACACACAUACAUGCUUGGAAAGCUUAAAGAAUUAGCAUCUGAAGAAGCCCAGGGUUUAAAGGAGAGAAGCUUACAGUGACUUCUCUUUUGUUAAAAAUCUUGACUGAAAAUGGCGUAGUGAGUGAUGACCACUUCUGAGGAGGUCAGCAGAUGCAAUAAUUUCUGGGCUCGCCGAAGAAACAAACCAGAUUUCGUCUUCCUCCUACUGUUCCUCCGUAGCCUCCUGUUUUUGUCUAUUCUCUCAACCUCUCCGCCGUCACCCAGUUUCUCUGGUUUCUUUUUUCCCUUCUGGUUUGCAACCGUCACUCAAUCAUUCUCUCGUUUGGCUCCACUUUUGCUUCGGUGAGGAGCUGCUGGUGGCGAUGGAAGGCUGGCCGUCGUGAAGGUGUUGUCAGCUCCAGUAGCAAAACCCUCCUUUUCUUCUCACCGUAGCCCUCUUCCCUCUCUCUCCCAUUUUUCUCUCAAGCUUCCUGCCGUCCACUGUCUCUAAAACCUCCCCUCGCUGUUCUUUUCUUCUCCAGUCUCCCGUUAGCUCCCCUCUGGUUUCUUUUGCUCAACCUUUGCUCGAUGCUCCCCUCCUCCGACUCUCUCUCCCAGUUCUCUCUAUCCGUCCCCCAAAACUCCUUCUUGCGGCUACCUUUCCUUUUCUUUUUAUAUCCGAAUCCCCAACCCUAAACAACUUUCAUAAAUUGCAGCUAAAGGGCUGCCUGGUCCUCAUUUUGCAGGCUGCGGCAAUACGCAGUUUCAUGCCGCGUUUCUUUUCCUUUUUUUUUUUUUUUUUUAAAACUUAAAUAACAAAAUUGAAAAUAAUUAAAACCAGAACAAUUUAAUUAAUAUUAGAAACAACAAAAUGCAAAUCCAAUCUUCCUUUUUCAUUUUCCAUCAUUUUUCUUUUUUUCCCUUUUUCCAAAGAAAUUCUAUGCUAAAAACUAAAACUAGAAAUUAAAACUAAAUUCGAAUAAAACUAACACGCUAAAUACAAAACUAAAAAUAAACAGUAAAUGAAAUUACACCAAAAAUUUGGUGUCUACAGUUUGCCCCUUUUUGUCUGAGUUUUGGAAAAACUUGAGGCAAAAAAGUAGACACCAAAUGCUUACCUGUACCAUUCAGUUGCCCCUAUUCGGAGGACUGACCUAAACAAGGAAUUUCAAACAUGGGACUGGCCCGAACAGAAUUGUAAACGGGAUAGACCCAGACAGAAAUGUAAAUGGAAUAGAUCCAAACAGAAACGUAGACGGGACUGACCCGAACAGGAAUUUAAACGGGACUGACCCGAACAGGGAUUUAAACGGGACUGACCCGAACAGAAAUUUAAACGGGACUGACCCGAACCGAAAUUUAAAAUCAUGGGACUGACCCGAAUAAGCUUUUAAUCAUGGGACUGACCCGAAAUAAGCUUUUAAUCUUGGGACUGACCCGAAAUAAGCUUUUAAUCAUGGGACUGACCCGAAUAAGCUUUUAAUCAUGGGACACUAGUGGGACUGACCCACGGCUAAUGGCAAUGACAAAUGAAAGACACACUAGUGGGACAAAUCCAACGGCUAGCGGCGAAUGCAAAUGAAAGGCACACUAGUGGGACAAACCCAACGGCUAGCGGCAAAUGCAAAUGAAAGGCUCACUAGUGGGACAAACCAACGGCUAGCGGCGGAUGCAAUUAAAAGGCACACUAGUGGGACAAACCCAACGGCUAGUGGCGAAAGCAAAUGAAAGGCACACUAGUGGGACAAACCCAACGGCUAGUGGCGAAAGCAAAUGAAAGGCAACGGCUAGCGGCAAAGCAAAUGAAAGGCACACUAGUGGGACAAACCCAACGGCUAGCGGCGAAUGCAAAUGAAAAGCACACUAGUGGGACUGACCCACGGCUAGCGGCAAUGUAAAUGAAAUGCACACUAGUGGGACUGACCCACGGCUCUAGUGGCCGUGAAAAUGAAAUGCACACUGGCGGGACUAACCUCUGCUCCAGUGGCUGAAAAUGAAAUGCACACUGGCGGGACUAACCUCUGCUCCAGUGGCUGUGAAUGAAAUGCCUUGACAAUCGGACAGUGGGAUUAAACCCGAGCCUGCCAUGAUAAUCGGCCAGUGGGAUAAUACCCGAUCCUGCCGAGGUUGGCGGGAUGAAACCCGGUCCCAACGAAGUAAGCGGUCAGCGGGAUAAAACCCGGUCCUGCCGAGGUUGGCGGGAUAAAACCCGAUCCCAACGAAGUAAGCUGUCAGCGGGAUAGAACCCGGUCCUGCCGAGGUUGGCGGGAUAAAACCCGGUCCAAACGAAGAUAAAAGCGGUCAGCGGGAUAGAAACCGGUCCUGCCGAGGUUGGCGGGAUAAAAUCCGGUCCCAACGAAGAUAAAAGCGGUCAGCGGGAUAGAACCCAGUCCUGCCGAGGUUGGCGGGAUAAAACCCGGUCCCAACGAAGAUAAAAGCGGUCAGCGGGAUAGAACCCGGUCCUGCCGAGGUUGGCGGGAAACCCGGUCCCAACGUGAUAAAGUGAAGUUGGCGGCACGAAAUCCAGGCCCAACGUGAUGAUGGAAUGUUGGCGGCACGAAAUCCAGGCCCAACUUGAUCUUUGAAAUGUUGGCGGCACGAAAUCCAGGCCCAACGGGAUUUGGUGAAUGGUCAGUGGGAUAAGACCCAGUCCUGCCAUCCAAUUGGUCAAGAAAUUGAAUUUGAUUUGUCAAGAAACAAGAAAUUAAAUUUGACUUUCCAAGAGACAAGAAUUUGAACUUGAUUUUUGAUUUUUGACUUUUGAAUUUUUCUGAUUUUUCGAGAGAAUCUUUUUUCCAAAAAUAAUUUGCCCCCAGGGUAGGGCCCUUUUCCCUUCUUCCUUCUCUUUCUUCGGCAUCGGCCUUCCACAUCGCCAGAUGCUCUUUCGUCGAUUUCAACUAUGAAUACCUGCACAGGGGGCUUUCAUGCAUUCAAAUUUUCAUGUAAAGGGCAGCGUGAUUGAUUUGAAAGUCUUGCUUGACUCUUUGAUGAAAUCCUCAAAUGGACUAUUAAAAUUUGCCCCAGUGUGGGCUUAUUUUGUGAAAUCUUGGAAAUAAAAAUUUUGCCCCAGUAUGGGCCCAUUUGAUUGCAAAAAAUUGGUUUGGAUGUCUCUCCAUUCAUUUUGAACAAAAGCAAGAAACUGUGUUUCCUAUAUAAUGUGAAGAAAUCUGAACGUCUUGCUUAAAAUCACACAGGAAAUUUCAUGAUGAAUUUCUCAAAAUAAUGCCAAAUUACAAAAGAUUUCUUCCUCACUUUAGCAUCGAUGCUUUGGGUAAGGGGUGUUACGUCCGAUUUGGAAAUGGGAGAUCAAGAUUUGUCUUAUUCAUGUGCUCAGAUGGUAUGUAAUCCCUUCAAUACCACAUCUUAGUGAAAGCAAAGAGUUUGUCACCCUUAUUUCUUAAGAAAACUUAGUCAACGUAUAAGCUUCAAUGGCUUGCAAAAUUUUGGGUAGAAAUGAUAGCUAAACAUGUGAAAUCUGGUUAUACCCUUAUGAUCAUGAGUGAUCGAUGGAUUUUUAUGAGCAUAAUCCUCACUUUGGAUUGUCAUGAAGGAAUAAGUCAACGAUGGACUUUAUUAGCUUGUAAUUUGGCUUGAAAACGAUAGCUAAAGAAAUAAUUUUCAAAGGACAUUGCACCGAAGAUCGCAUUUUUCGACAUUGCCCUCAUCUGGACUCCAGAUUCUUGGACUUUGUUUGACUUUUUAUCAUCACCCAACAGGGUCUUUCAGCAUCAAAUCUUUUUGCAUCUUUCUUUUGCAUUCAUUUCACUCGUUUUUCUUUUCUUUUUCCCCCUUUUUUCAAAAAAUACCCUCGCGGGGCUUCACAUGAAGAGCAGUGUCAACCCACACCUAAUCAAUUCAGAAAUACAGCUAAAAUUUUUGACAUCAGAGAUUUCCUUGACAAGGCCAGUGCAAAGAACAGAAGUCAGGACUUUCGGCUUUGUAAUGGGGUCAGGUGGGGUGCUUAGAAAAGUUAAGGCUUGAAGGCAGAUUUCAAGAGUGGUUUAAGUAAUCUGAGAUCGCAUUGUUGUGCCAACCCUAUUUUAGGGUUAAAUCAGGAUUUGCCCCAAUUUAUGCUCACUUGAGGCUUUUUCUCUUUCGUUUUCUUUCUUUUUGAUUUUUCGGCCUUUUGCCAUUCCUUGAAACUUCACAAAAUUUGCCCCAAUUUAUUUUUUGAACUGAGGUUCUCUUUUCUUCUUUUGCAUUUGAUUUUAUUGCUUUUCACCUCUUGGGACUUUUCUUUUCUGUUCAACUCAAACUUGCCCCAAUGUGGGGUUUGCGAUUCUCAGGGGUUGCCAAACGAAAUAAUGAGAAAUUUCUGGCAUGUAUCUGAAUUAACUGACUGAGGAAGACCCUUGUUCAUCCAUACUUGUGAAACGUAGGCGAACCACGCGGACAAAUCUCUUCCUUUUCUUUUUUCUUCAAAAUUAGAACCUAAGUGGAAUCAAAUUUCUCCAAUUUGCGGUUCCCUUUCCCCUUGUCUUUUUUCCUUUUUUUCAAAAUUUCCCCAAUCCCCUUCCCCAAUGUGGGGUACGACCAUAAGUGCAUUAGAAAAGAACCACCAAUUUUAGCUCAAAAUGAGGAUGCAAGGGGUGAUCAGUGUUUAGGUUGUAGAAACGACGGCCAAAGCAUCAUUCUUACACCUCAUGACAACCCAAGUAACGAAAUGGUUAUUGAAAAUCCAUUCCCCUUUUUGAUAUUUGAAAAUUUUCCAAUAUAGGGUAGUGAUCAUUAGGGCUCUUAUUUGAAACGAAAUUAUUCUUUCAUAGGCUCAAAUGGGAGAGCAAGUGAUAAAAAUCUGUAUAGGUAGUGAAACAAAUGCUCAAAGUAUCAUUCCAAAUUUUCAAAACAAACAAGAAUAAUGCACAUUUUUGCUUUCACUUAGAUGUGAAUUGAAUCUGGUUAAACCGAUGGGGAUUUUUCCAAGCAAAGAUUGUCCCAAUUUGCAAUUUAUCAAUCAAUGUGACUGAUUUUAUUUUGGGGUUAAAUGAAGGAGAAAAGGUAUCUCAUUGGGCCUUUUGAGUGAUCGCUCACCCUUUUUCUUUCUGAGCACUCUUAUUGUACAACUCGGAUCACCAAUCUAGUGUACGUAUGGAUUUUAGAAAGCAUACACUUAUGAGUUUCCAGGCUGGAGGUUGAGGAAAACUCGAUUUGGUCUUAUUUCUCAAAAUUCAUCAUAAAAUCUCUAAUGAAUAAGAAUAAAGAAUGAAGUGUACAUAAAUUUACACAAAACACUAAUUGUCCAAAACUUUAUUGCUGAAACAGUUUGAAACAAAAAUUUCUCGUUCAAUUACGAUACAAAUGAGGAGGGAACUUCUAAAGAGCUCCACAUAUACACUUUUCGUCUCCUUUUCUUUUGGAACAAAAAUGUAUUAACAAAUCAAAUAUACAAAACUUUCCUUGAAAGCAAUUAUGAAAUCUCGUAGAAACUCUUAGCCUAGAGCUUUCAGAUGGAUCUUUCAUGUUACCAUUGUUGGAUCUGCCCAAGAAUCAAAUAAUACUUUUUCGAACUUUACCGGAUCAAAAAUUGUUAUCCAAUAUAGGGAAAUAUUUUCACCUUAUUGAAACAUUUUAUGAAUGCAGGGGAGGGGGAAAAAAAGAAAAAUACCCAGAGUUAGUAGGCAAGACUACAAAAACAGUAUGCAUGUCUUAUGGGGGAGCCCUUUUUGUGCCAAGGGUAGGCCUAGCAUGAAAAUGCAAUCCUCCAGAGUAGGCACUAUACAAUACCUGAUGGAUCCAAUCAGCUUAUGGAGUGAAAAAUAAUUUGAAGAAUUUGGCCCAUUGGAAUGAGAAGAGACGUUUGUCAAAAUGAGGACCUCGUCCGAAGGGAUCGAUCACUUUUGAUCGAUACAAGAACUUUGCAAAAACGCACGGGUUUGACCUUGACGAACUUCCUAUCGAAGAGAUUGGAAUUCGUUUUGAUAACUUUCCUCAGUGAAGUACGGGUCAAAACUCCAACUGAUCAAAUGGCUGGAUGUAAUGGAUGUUUUUCUCAAAAUCGACUCGGUUUUCCAUUUUGAAAUUCGACAUUGAAACCCUAAUUGGUCAAGUGAAAUUGACAAUUUAUUAAAAAUCGACCGGAUUACCCUAAAAAGGGAAACAGGUCAAAUGAAUUGAAUGAAAUUUAAUUUAUCCAAAAUUAAUCAGAUCAUCCUAACAAGGGUAAAUCGAUCAAAUAGAUUGAACGAAACUUGAUUUAUUCAAAAUCGGCUCGGUUGCCCUAAAAAUGGGUAAAUUGGCCAAAUGAAUGAAAUUGAAUUAGUGAUUUAUUCAAAAAUCGGCCGAAUGACCCUAAAAAGGGUAAAUUGGUCAAAUGAAUUGACGAUUUAUUCAAAAUCGACCAGGUGACCCUAAAAAGGGUAAAUUAGUCAAAUGAAUUGAUGAUUUAUUGAAUGAAUCGGCAAGAUGGAUUGGUUGAAUUGUCCGGCCAUUGGUUAUUUCAAAAUUAUUGAGGUGCAUUAGUCUAUGACCUUCUAAAAAUCAAAUUUUGGCCUCAAUUUAUUUAUCGUCUCAAUUGGAGGAAUCAUUUGUGAAUUUCUUCAAAUUAAUGUCCUUCACGCAAGGGAUUUUUACCAAUUUUGAUAAAAUGGCCAAAAAGUGAUUAUUAGAUGCUCAUAUUCCAAAGAUCACUCUAUGAAAAUGAUCGGAUCCUACCUUACCUUGUGCACUACCCCUUUGGACGGUACAAAAUGUAAACGUGCAAGUCUCAUUGGAUUAUAUAUCCGAGACACAGGGCAGUCAUUCCUAGCACGGGAUCGCCUAAAUGGCAUUCCCUUCCUAAGGUUUAUGCAUGAUGCCAUUUUAUUAAAGCAGUAAAAUAUGCAAUUCGAAAUGAAACAUGACCUAAGGGACCCUUUAUUACGCCAAGGUAGGCUUAGAAUGCUAUGCAAUUAUUAAUCUAUGAAUGCAAUAUCCCAAAAUCUUUAAACGUGCAAUAACCUAUCUACGAGGGUAGGUUCUAAAAGAAGGUCAUGCCAGACCUCUUAUUUGCUAGGGUUUGUGAAUGCAAUGGGGACACAAAACCAAGAAAAGUUAGUUCAGCCAGAUAAAUACACAUAACACAUUGUAGCAACGAAAUCAAUAAAGCAAUAAAAGGGAAAGAGGAGUUGGAUCCCUCCCCUCGUGAAUCGUGUCCCUAAUAGGGUAAAGCAGACUCUACCUUAGGCAAUUCUAAUAUGGAUGCAUGAGGUUGGGGUUCGCUAAUGCAUCUAGACUCGACAAGCUCAGGUCCCCGAGCCUUCAGACUUAGAAACCAAGGGUCAUCAAUCCCAAGGUUUUUUGUCGGUGGCUCGAGCGAUUCCCCAAACACCGCUACGCACACAUCGUGUCGCGGCUACGUGUUUGAGUGAAUCUAUCAAAAUUCCUCAAUCUUCCAUCAAAAGCUAAAAGCUAUGAACCCAAAGCUUAAAGUGGAAGAUCGAGUGACUCCUCGGAUCAUGCUACGCACACAUCGUGUCGCGAUCACAAGUCCAAGUGAGUCGCCUAAAAUCCUAAUAGGGUGGAGUGGCGUGACAAGCCACUAAAAGGAAAAAUAAAGGGUAAGAAUUAAAGCGUAUGCACGUAUGCUUGUGUUUGUUUGGAGGGGAGGGAUCAAGAACCCACGCGAGGCUCUAGGGUAUGUCCCCCACCCAAAUGCAAUGCAAAGCGCUACAUGAAACAAAUAAAAUAUACAUCCAAUCAACCAAUCAUACAUUCGUGAGCGAGGGAGUAGUUUGAGACGUACGUGAGACAAAAAGGUCCUAAAAAUGGAAGAUGCAACCCUAAUAUCCACAUGUCAUGCAUAAAAAGGGUAGAAAAAAGAAACGAAUGGCUAAGUCAAAUGCUUGGACCCACUUAGGAAGUCCCCAGUGGAGUCGCCAACUGUCGCGCCCCACUUUUUGAAUGAAUGUUGUUUGUGGUGGUGUGUGAAUAGUGUGGAAUAUAUGAACGUGUGAAAAGAAAAAUAAAAGGCCAUGGGACUUUAGAAUGCGACGAUUUGGCCAAAUGAAAUUUAAAAAGGGUUUUCAAAUAUAAAAACGGAGUCGCCACUUGGUAUAGAUUUAGGGUGUACCAAGUCACCCAAAAAUGAAUUUUUAAAGACAAGCAGUAAAAAACCCUUUUUAAAACGACUCCUAGUCCACGUAAACCAACGAAAAAGGUUCGGGAGUCACAUUUGACGAAGGGGAAGGCAAGGAUAAAAAUCCAAGGCACCCCUUCGACCUAGCCAAGGCUAGUUGCGUGAUUUAGCCCCACCUUUCCCAAUUUUUCUACCAAAAAUAUGUAUUGCAUGUUUUGGAUUUGACUAGAUGAAUGCAAAAAGAAAGAAAAAAUGCAAACCUAAAUUCUAAAAUGUCUCUUGUAAGGUUUUUGGUCCCAACCACAUGAGUUGCGGCGGCCAAUGAAGGAAAACCUUAUAGAGGUCGAUUAAUGCAAAUGAUGGCUAAAGUGCAAGUGUGCAAGUGUAUAAAAAGAUGCACGUGUGAAAUUGUAUAAAAAAUCCAAGUAUUUGUGUGCAAGUGUAUGAAAAGGUGCAUGUGUGAAAUUGUAUGAAAAAUCCAAGUGUUUGUGUGCAAGUGUAUGAAAUAUAGUGAUAAGUGCAUAUAGGUGUAAUUAAGUGCAAUUUUGUGAAGUAGAAAUCAAAAUGAACAAUAAGGAAAAGAAAAGUGAUGAGGAAAUGUGAAUUGGAAAAAAAUGAGUAAGUGAUAAAUGAGAAUGAAUGAACCUAAAGGAAUGCAUCAGGUCGGGUAUGGGAAUGACUCCUAACUUUUUCGACUUCGAUUUUCCCUUUGAUUAGAAAGCAAAACUAGCGUGCUAAGGCUAUCGAGUAGCCACACUCGCUCGUUUCCCUUAUCAGAAGGGGACUCUUCAGGCAAAUGUACCCUAACUAGCAUGAGAUGCAAGACCUAAAGUGAAGGGAAAGGGGAAUCGAGGAGCAUGCCAGAUGAUAAAACUAAGGAAAAAUGCAUGAUAUGUAGUGAACACGCAAAUAUGCACUAUCGAAAGGGACGGCCUAUUGGGUCUAGCGUUGGACUAGCCCUUUCUAUGAAUUCCUACUAGCAUUGGACUAGUGGAAACGGAACGAAGAACCACAACUAGCGUUGGACUAGUGUGGUGACGGGAAAGGGGGCCACAACUAGCAUUGGACUAGUGUGGUGACAUCCAUUCAUCUAUCACAUUCAUUCAUGACUAUAAAAAAGCGAGUAGACAUGCGAAUCACUUAUAAACACGUAGCACAUAACACUUAGCAUGCUUGACUAGAUGCAAAGGCCUAAUAAAGCAAAUUAACACAUAGCAACUAAGCAUGCAAGACACAUAAGGCAAUUAAGGCCUUUAACUAUUACAAUUGCUAACUAAAACAAAAGGGGAAAGGGAAAAUGGACCAAAUUGCUCGCCAAGCCCUAUCUAUUACAAGCCAAGAGGUGUACACAUACCCCAUAAUGAAUAACGCAAAUAAAAGGCAAAAGUAAAUGAAGUAAAUGAAAGGAAUUAAAGAAAGGCAAAGAAAGCAACGUAGACAUGCAAUUCACACUUAGCACGUUGGAUCACAUAGGAGAAAUGAAAAUCAAGGAGAUAGAGGUUACCUCCCUUGCAAUUGGCGCCCUAAUGAAGUAAAAAUGGCUUCAAAACAAUAAAAAGGUCAAGGUACCACUUUAUUUAAGAAAAAUUGAAAGAAAUGUGCAAAACAAAACUCACUUGAUCGUAAAGUCCCUAAAGUCAUGACUUAAGCGCACUUGAAACAAAGCAUGGUAGUCAAUUGAAACAAACAAACGAUGAAGUUGCACAAAUUAAAAUUACCAAGGACCAAAUUGAUGAAAUUAUUUAAUUGAUUGGGUCCUAGUGGAACAAGGAGAGACUUAGGGGCCAAAGUGCAAAUUUUUCUUUUGGUUUUCAUGCAUGCAUACGUAGAAGGCUGAAACCUUCUUUACUUUCUGCAAAAUUCUGCUGCAAGCUUUUGCAGCUUCAAACCAUGCGUAUUUCAUACCAGAAAAUGCACAAAGUUCAUUGUUUGUCAACCCAACUCAUAUGAAUCCCAAUAUCGCCAACUUUAAGCAAUAAUUAUCUAUCAUUAGUGAUCCCAACAGAGAGCAUCCAAGCAAGAAAACAAGGAAAGAAAACAGCCGAGAUUCUCAAUCUUUGUUCAAAACAUCAAACCAGAAUAUUCAAUAAAACAUGCUAAACAACCGGACCACAAAACAACCAAAAUAUUAGACAUCUGUACAAGGAUUUUCAAGGCAACAUCAUACAAUCCAUGAGGAUGCUUGCUGCAAUUCAAACAUGCUGCCAUUUCACUUUCGCACCCAAACUUCAGAUUCAAACACACACUUCAAUCAAACUUUCUUCACUAAACAUCAAAGCUCUGAUCUAGAUAGUAAGACCACUGGAAUUAAACAUCUAAACAUGCAAAAAUGAACCCCAGAAUAGGAUCACUAAGCUUUAUAGCUUUCUCCUUUAUGAUACCCUUUCACUGCAACAUUUCUGGUUGCUGUUUUUUCUUACUCCGGCACUGAACAAUGCAGCAACCAUUUACGCGCAUGAAUUCCAACAAAAGCCAACCAUUUGCCAAUUUAUCACCAUAAAAGGCAAAGCAAACAGAUCAAAACCCAUUAAAAUCCACAACCCAGCGUUGGAAAUGCAACUGCCUAUCCUAAAAAUCCCACUAUGCGGCGGGGUAAUAAAAUGCAGCGCAGAAAAAGAGAGCUUGCUGUAAGCAUAAAGUUCCAACCACACACAUACAUGCUUGGAAAGCUUAAAGAAUUAGCAUCUGAAGAAGCCCAGGGUUUAAAGGAGAGAAGCUUACAGUGACUUCUCUUUUGUUAAAAAUCUUGACUGAAAAUGGCGUAGUGAGUGAUGACCACUUCUGAGGAGGUCAGCAGAUGCAAUAAUUUCUGGGCUCGCCGAAGAAACAAACCAGAUUUCGUCUUCCUCCUACUGUUCCUCCGUAGCCUCCUGUUUUUGUCUAUUCUCUCAACCUCUCCGCCGUCACCCAGUUUCUCUGGUUUCUUUUUUCCCUUCUGGUUUGCAACCGUCACUCAAUCAUUCUCUCGUUUGGCUCCACUUUUGCUUCGGUGAGGAGCUGCUGGUGGCGAUGGAAGGCUGGCCGUCGUGAAGGUGUUGUCAGCUCCAGUAGCAAAACCCUCCUUUUCUUCUCACCGUAGCCCUCUUCCCUCUCUCUCCCAUUUUUCUCUCAAGCUUCCUGCCGUCCACUGUCUCUAAAACCUCCCCUCGCUGUUCUUUUCUUCUCCAGUCCUUCCCGUUAGCUCCCCUCUGGUUUCUUUUGCUCAACCUUUGCUCGAUGCUCCCCUCCUCCGACUCUCUCUCCCAGUUCUCUCUAUCCGUCCCCCAAAACUCCUUCUUGCGGCUACCUUUCCUUUUCUUUUUAUAUCCGAAUCCCCAACCCUAAACAACUUUCACAAAUUGCAGCUAAAGGGCUGCCUGGUCCUCAUUUUGCAGGCUGCGGCAAUACGCAGUUUCAUGCCGCGUUUCUUUUCCUUUUUUUUUUUUUUUUAAAAAAACUUAAAUAACAAAAUUGAAAAUAAUUAAAACCAGAACAAUUUAAUUAAUAUUAGAAACAACAAAAUGCAAAUCCAAUCUUCCUUUUUCAUUUUCCAUCAUUUUUCUUUUUUUCCCUUUUUCCAAAGAAAUUCUAUGCUAAAAACUAAAACUAGAAAUUAAAACUAAAUUCGAAUAAAACUAACACGCUAAAUACAAAACUAAAAAUAAACAGUAAAUGAAAUUACACCAAAAAUUUGGUGUCUACAGGACAGGUUAUCAAGCCAAUAAAUGGUCAAUCAAUCAUUUUAUCCAGCAAAAAUUUCUCAUCAAAUUCCAUGAGUAAGAAAGGAUGAUAAGAAGAAAGGAUGAAGGAGUUUUCUUGCUCUCAACUCUCUCUCUCUCGGCUACUCACUUGCUGAAAUGGAAAUGAGAUGGUCUUGGGAUAGUCUUGGGAUAGUAUAGUUGAAAGUGGGUGAGAUUGGCGAAAGUGAUUAGCUAAAAUGAGAGGUGGAAGGUUAGUGGAAGCUUAGGAGAUGUUUGGCCAAGUGAAAUUGUGGAGUUUUGGGAUAAAACUUUGCAUGUUAGUUUUUUUUUUUUCAUUUCCUAGUUUUGGUAAACACAAGUGAUAUAUAUAUAUAUAUAUGUGUGUGUGUGUGUGUGUGUGUGUGUGUUUAGAUUAAACACUAUAACGUCACACUCUCAAGUGAUAAAAUAAUUAAACACUUAAAUUCAUCAAUAAUAAGGUAUAUAAAAAUUAAAAUAACAGCAUGAAAUUUAUACAAAAUUUUCGGGUCCUCACAUGCAAUGCCCUCUGAAUUAAAAAAAUGCUCCUUAGAAUUUUAACAUAUUGUGAGCGAUAUUCUCAAUCCUUAUUAUACAUUCAUAAUUGUCUACAUUGAUUAUGUAUUAAUAUUUUUAAACUCUACAGAUCAACACUUUAAACAUUUAAAUACUUUCUUUAACAUAGUGAAAAAUAAAGGAUUAAUAGUCUCAGUUACAAAAAUGAAAUUAUUUGCAAUUAAGGUAAGAUUUUUAGGGCAUGACAUUUAUCAAGACACAAUUAUACCUAUUAAUAGAGAGUUAGCCUCUGCAAAUAAAUUUUCAAAUGAAAUUAUUGACAAAAAUCAAUUACAAAUAUUUUUAGAAUGCUUAAACAACAUGGCAGAUUUCUUUUCAAAAUUAAGACAAAUUUGUGCAUCAUUAUUCAAGGGGUUACAAAAGAAUCCUCCAACAUGGUUUGAUCAACAUACUCAUAUAGUUUGCAUGUUAAGAAAAAGGUUAAAUCAUUACUAUGUUUAAAUAUUUUCAUGAUAGCAUAAAUAGAUGCCUCCAAAAUAGGAUAUGGAGGAAUUCUAAAACAAAAAUUUUCAAAUCCACAUGAACAAUUAGUUAGGUUUCAUUCAAGAGUUUGACUUGGUCCUCAAAAAAAAUUAUUCUACUGUCAAGAAAAAGAUUUUAUCAAUGGUGCUUUGCAUUUCAAAAUUCCAAAAUGAUUUGUUAAAAUAAAAAAUUCCUUUUAAGAAAUGAUUGCAAAUCAGCAAAAGAGGUUUUAUAAAAGGACAUACAAAAUAUAGUUUCAAAACAGAUUUUUGCCAGAUGUCAAGCUAUUCUAUCUGUAUUUGAUUUUGAUAUUGAAUUUAUCAAAGGGGAAAAUAACUCACUUACUAAUUUUUUAAUAAAAAAAAGUUUUUUGCAACCCAUUUUUCAAAAUAAAAGAGAUGAGUUAUGCAAAAAUAGAUUUUAGUUUCAAAAAAAUAUAAAGAAAAAAGGGCCUAAAAUGGGACUUUAGAAAAUGCGGCGGUUUAGGCCCAAAAAAAUAGUCUAAAAGGGCUUUUUAGAAAAAGGGACUCGCACUUGAUAUUGAAUUUAGGUGUACCAAAUCACCCAAAACUGUUUAUAAUUAAAAAAAUGAAAAAAAAAACCUUUAAAACAAAUCCAGAUAUUCGAAAACAAAAGAAAAUGACUCAGGAGUUAUGGUUAAAAAAAGAGAAGCCAAAGAUUCGAUUGGUUCGAACAUAAAGCAGCCUUUCAACCUAAUCAAAGUCAAUUGUGAGGUUUAGUCAAAAUUUUUCUAAUCUAACUUUUAAACUUAUCACGUUUGGAUACUUUUAUAUAGAUGUAAAUCUAAACCUAAAAGGGAUAUUAAAAGGGAAGAAAUGUCCCUUCAAGGUUUAAUUGGCAACAAUCGCAUUAAUUGUAAAACCCAAGAAUAAUUCCUUUAAGAAAUCACAAGGAUGCAAAGAUAAACUCAAAGAAAAGAAAAUUAAAUCUGACAUAUAGAAGUGGUCAAAGAGUGAUGCAACAUAAUAGGUAUGAGAGACUAAAACUUGUGAGAUGAUUUUCCUUCUUAUAGAGGGGUAAUAGCAUGCUAAGGUUAGAAAAAUCAUACUUAUCCAUUUUUCAUAUUUGAAGGGUGAUUCUUCUAAUUUAGGUAAGCAAAUGAAGUAACUUAUUUUCUAAUUUUCUAAAUAAAAUACAAGUCUAAAUAAUAUAGUACGCGCAUAUAAGGAUAAGGAGCAAAUAUCAUACAAAUGAGAAAAAUAAUCUAAAAUAGGAAAAAUACAUGAAAAAUACAAUGAAUGACACACAAAACAUGCAUCUAAUACGUGAAUGACCUAAGGAUCUAGUAUUGAACUAGACUAUUUUUACAAGUCUUCACUAACAUUGGAUUAGAAAACAAACGGAGGGAAAAGUCACGACUAGCAUUGGAUUGAUGUAGUGAUAUCACGCAUCCAUAAUUUAUAAUAUUGCAAGAAAAGUGUAAAUUAAAAACAAGUAAGCACAUAGGAAUACAUAAAACAUGUAGGUGCAGAACCCUAAGGAAAGCGAAUAAAGCACACAACACAUAAGCACAAAAACCUAUCUAUUACAUUAGAGCUCUAAUUACAAUCUAAAAAAGGGAAUAUAAGAAAACAAACCUAUAUAAUCUAUCUACUAUGUUUGCUUAUCUAAUUACACUUCUUGCAAAAGAAAAUAUAACCUAAACAUAAAAUCAAACUAUUACAUUGGGGCUCUAACUACAAUCUAAAAGGGGGAAUAUAAGAAAACAAACUUAAUCUGACCUAUGUACUACAUUUGCCUAUUUAAUUACAUUUCUUGCAAAAAAAAUAUAACAUAUAUAUUAUAUUUUGGGGAUUCAAGUACCCUCUAAAAAAUUAUAUGACUUGAAUUAAAUAAAUAAACAUAAAAAUGAAUAAAAGCUUAAAGUAAAUAAAUAAAAAAACACAUAAAAUAUAUAAAUACAUAAGAGCACAUAAGAGCAUGUAAUUGGAAUUUAAAGAACAAUAGGGGUACCUCCCUUUUGAAACAGUGACUAAAUGAGGGGAGGAAGAGUUAUCUAUUACUCAAAUUCAACAAAAGUGUCAACGUAUCAAUUUAAUUGACAAUUAAUUGUUAGAGAAAAAAUAACUUAAUUCAUUAAAAAGAAAAUUACUAAUGUCGCAAGACAAAUAAUAAACCAACAUUCCAAACAUGAAUUAAGGAUUAAAAAGGCCAGGACAAUCAUAAUGAUAAAGGCAACAAAGAUUCUUAGAGACUAAAAUGAGAAAAAUAAAAAUUUUGGGGCAAAAAUAUAAUUUUUAAAAUUGGGACCAAAAUACAAAUUCUGCAAAAAUCAGUUUUUUAAUAACCUUUUAUUUAUAAUCCACUCAAAUUUAGACUAAUUGAACUACAAAAACAAUUUUUGAGCCAUCAAAUCAAAACUAUUUAUAUUAGUUACUAAAGUUGUAAAAUUGGAAGGCCAAAGUUAAUAAAUUCACUUAAACUUUCAUCAACUUGGAAAAGUUGAAUUGAUUCACUACAACAUGCAUGAACAUAAUAAAGGAAGGCCAAGAAUUCAAAAGGCAAAAUUUUGUCUAUUUUCACAAUUUUUGUGGUCUCAGUAUAAUUAUGCAAAAAGUAGGGGUCAAAUUGCAAAUAUUUCUUAUAGACUUAGAUUAGAAUACCAUAUGAAUUCAAACAAUUUUUGAAAAAUUAAAGAGUGUCUAAAAUAUACAAAAUGUCAAGAACUACACAUUAAAAGAAAAUAAAAAAAAAUUAGUCCAUGUUCAUAAAGAAAUCUCAACAUUUGGGCUAAGCCUUCUAGUCCGUGUUAAAAUUAACAGAUAACCCAGCAUAAACCCCAUGAACAAAUCCAAGAUAAAAUAAAGGUUAGCCCACACUCCCAAUCACCCAUCACUGCCCAAGGCUCAACUUAAAGAGAAGUAAACCUAUCCUUGCACCAAAGUCAGAAAGGAAAACAAAGCAAAUUACAGAAAAUAGAAGGAAAAGGAAAAACGAGAAGAAAAAGAAAAAUUUUGCAAUUGACCAGAUGUUCUACUUGGUGAUUGAAAAUUCGGAAUCUAGAAGAAAUUCCGGCCACUUGGCAAGAAUUCUCGCCAGAAAAUUUUUCAAAACUUCUAAAGUUAAAUUUUAACAUGAACACGAUCCUUACAACAUCAUGAAGGUAUCUAAAACAUCAAACAAGGUCCAGAAACAACAUAGAACAUGCAAAAUAGCAUCUAAACUUCAAAACUACAACCUUGACUCCAACUCCAUGCUGUUUUCUUAAAACUAAACAAACAUGAAUAAGAACUAAAUGAUCAGAUUACAAAAAUGGUAAGGAGCAAAACUUAUGAACACUCCCAGGUUUAGAACAUUAGUAUCAAGACCUACUAUUUUUGUCAUAAAAAAAGCUUCAACUAAAGGGGAUUUCUUAUUUUAUUCAAGUUUGGGUUUCUGUGUUGUAACAUGCUAUCGAAUUCCAAGACAAAGAGAAAUAAACAUGAAACUUAAUUGAAAGUGAACACACAAUCAAACACAAAAUUCAUAUUUCAAACUUGAAACUAAAGGAAGCAAAGUGAAAUGGUGUCUUAACCUAACAUGGCAUGAGAAUGAAAAAGAAGUUCAUGAAGAGUCAUCUCUGGUAUCUUUGAAGCAAUAUUAAACAGUGGAGAGGAGCGAAAAUUCGAAAAAAUCACGAUAGCCAAGGUUGCUUGUUUCUUCAGUCGCCAAUGAUAAGGGUUGGGAUUGUCACAAUUUCAAGCUCAAAUUUCAUGGAUUUGAAGUGACUUUUCUUGGAAACUUUCAACAAAAAAUCCCUCUACUGUAACUCUAGCAUUAGCCAAUAAAGAAAUCUCGCUAAAUGAAGCUAAAACGAAGGAGAAAGGUGGAUUAGAGCAAGGCUGGUUCAUCAGCCUCAUUACAAGGUUUUGGAAUCUUUAAAUACUGCCACUCUAGUAGGUUAUUAUUUGAAAAGUUGAGUUGAGUUUUGAAAAAAAUAGGUUUGAGCAAAAAUCUCAUAAUUGAGAUUUGUGAGCUGUCGCGAGCGAAAAGCUACGACUUCAUAUUGUUAUUGUUAAGUCUUGGGUUAAUAAAUUAUUGAGUAGUUGUUUGUGUAUUUAUUCUCCUCCUCUUCUCACAUAUUUUUUAUGUGUCAAAAUUGCUUCUGCUAUGUGCGUAUUUUUCAUGAUAACAAGUGGUAUCAAAACCCUAGGUUCAAGAAAUUGAUCCUGGGGUACCUGUGAAAUUGAAGAAUUGACCAGACUACAAGGUUAGUUCUAGGCAUUUUUGCUAUCAGAGAGUUAGGGCACAAAUUAUCAGAAAGUAUUUAGCUGAUUGAAUUAGGCCACGAGAUUGGUCCUAAAGUGUGUGAUUAAUUGGUAAAGAAUUCAACCAUAAGAUUGGUUCGAAAAUUGUUAGAUUGUUGUGAGUGUCAAGACAGAGAUUAGAGUGGAAUUCUAUCAGAUUUGUUGAUUGCUGCUGGUUGUCAGACUGAAGGAUUUGAUUGGUUAAUCACUCAGAAAGAUCAAGAAACUUAAAAGAAGAAAGAGAAAAUUUUCUGCAGGUAUAUGAGUUGUUAAAUAAUGGCAAAAUUUAAUAGAGAUCCGAUUGAUAGUGAAAAUUUUCCAUAUUGACUCCUAUAAGCGUAAAUAGAUAUACAUAUUUUGGUUGGGUUUUAAAAGUGAAAAAAUAUCUCAAACAAUGUAAUUUGGAUGAUUUUCUCAGUUGGAUUGUUGCAGGUGAGUUGCCAAAACAUGUUUUCAAGAUGAAGGCAUGAUUAUUCUUUCAAAUGAUGCGUAAAACAAUGGCAGAAAGUAUUUACAAAACUUUUGUUCGUCGUGCCAAAAUACCUUGGACAUUUUGGAAGGAUAUUUACUAUGUUUUGCAAGUGAUUGAGAAAAAUUAUGCUUUCAAACCAAAAUCUAGUUGUUGGUAUUGGUUUGUAGAUUUUGAAAAUAAUAGAUUUGUUGAUGAUAUAAGUGAUAUUAAAAAUUUGAAUCAGUUGAUAGUUUUGAUUUGAAUACCUUAUUUGGCGAAAUUUGGAGUAAUGAAUUUUUUAAGAAAAAAAUUUGGUAAUUUGGUAAAGGAAGAAGAAAAGUUUGGCUUUGUGUGUGAAGUAAAAGAAAUUGUUAUUGAAAAACUUGUUGGCUUGGACUCUCCUCAAGGUGAUGGAAAGAUAUUUAAUUUGACAGAUCUUGAUGUCAUUGGAUUUCAAAAAUAUUUUACUCCAAAAGAGUUAAUUGACAGUAUGAAAAUUUUGGAUGAUUGUAGUAGUGGUUAUUUUAAAUUAUUUGGUGAUGAUAAUUUUGGCAAAAAAGCAAUCUAUGAUUUUGUAUUCUUGAGCACUUAUGUUGGUGGUAAAUAUGAUGACUCUAGUCAUGAAUGGAUUUGUAUCAGUAUGUACUUUAAUCAAGAAAAAUUGCUGAAAAUUUAUUUGCAAAAUAUAAAGUGCGUCCAUUGCCACAAGUAAAGAUGAAGGUAAUAACUGAAAAUAAGAUGGAGUUGCAAACCGUUUAUUUGGCGAUUGAAUUUUCAAUGGAAAGUUUUGCCCGAGAUGGAGUUAGACCUAUUUCAAUGAAGAGUUUGGUUUAAGGGAGGCAAUGAAGGAAAUUAAACCAGGUUAUCUUAGUAAUUUGUUUCUUAAUUCUUUUUGGUGACUUUUUUGUUUAGUUGCUGAUAAGUGUAUAUUUUACGUGUUUUUAGUGUGUUUUAUUAGUUAGUUUUGGCGUGUUUUAGUUACUUUUAUAGCUAAUUAACUAGGGAUCUAGUGAAAGUAUGCAUUUUGUGGUUUAAAAUGUGAAAAUUGCAUUUAUAUGGAUUUUAAUAGUUAAAACUUCAUGUUUUUAUAGGUUUAAUGAUUCAAUCAUCAAAUGGAGUGAAUUGAGAAGAUAAUUGGAUGAAUGAUGAUAGUUUGAAGUGAUAAAAAGAUAAUAUGAAAUGCAACAAAGGGAAUGCAAUCAAGAACAAAAUAAGAAAGGUUUUCCACCUUUGACACCUUGUGGUAUUUUGGCUAUAUCUUGAGUUACAAGCAUUGGAUUGAGGUGAUUCUUAUACCAUUUUGAAGCUAGGAGAUAGAUCUACAUUUGGUAUGAAGAUAUCGAAGUCCAUUUCAGUCAUUUUCCAUGUCAAAAGGUCGAAAUACAGAAGUGCAUGUGCAUGGUCGAAAACUGAAAUAGAGCUCUCACCAAUUGAGAGUAUUUUGGUCAUUUCUCGGUCUACAGAGCUCUAGAUUGGAUGAUUAUUGAUGCAUUGGAAAGCUAACUCAAAGGACUACAACUUUUACGUUUUACACAAGAGCUAGUUUAGCCACCAUCAUCGAGAAAAUAUUAGUUGAAGUUGAACCAAAAACGGAGCAAGGAUGAAUUUUGCCCAGAAAGUGCAAACCUGCGAAAGCAAUACAUGGAUAGGCAAUACGCGACUUGUAGUCGCGUAUUCUUCAUUUUCUGCUGCAACUUGCUAUUUGUUCACAUGACCUUUCCAGCUCAUCUACAAGUCAGAAUUUCGACUGCAGCUGUAAAGGAGAUGCAUGGAACUUGUAGAAGCAUCAUUUGGGAAUCUCAAGGAGCAUUUACAUCAACUUUUACAACUCUUUUUGACCUUGAAUUCUCUAUCAAUAGCAGCCUUUGAAGACCAUUUUAACAACUUUGGAAGGCUAGAGAAACUCCACCAAAAAUGUAGUCUUCACUAGUUUUUCUUAGUUCAUUAGUUUAGUAGUUUAAUAUAGAGUAGUAUAGUUUAUCCACUCUUGUAUAUUGGCUAGAUUAGGAUGAAGAUGGAGAUGAAGAAGGAGGGUUGAAGUUCAUGUGACAAGGGUUAUCUCUUCUCCAACUCUUUAUCUUUUGUAUUGGGUUCUUAAGUAUGGUUAAUAUGCAAGUUUUGGAUUUGAGUUUCAAUAUGUAUUUCUAAAGUUUAUGCCUAGAGUAUGGAUGAAUAUGUAUACCCUGUGCACGUCAGUUGCUAUAUUAUAUUAAGAAAUUUUAAGUUAGUUUUCAAGCAUGUUUCGAUUUACAAUUGUAUUUGAUUUAGAAGAUUUUGGAGUCUAUAAAUACUACCAGUCUAAUAGGUUAUUACUUGAAGAGUUGAGUUGAGUUUUGAAAAUUAGAUUUGAGAGAAAAUCUCAUAGUUGAAUUUUGUGAGUUGUCGUGAGCAAAAAGCUACAAUUUCAUAUUGUUAUUGUGGAGUUUUGGGUUAAUAAAUUAUUGUGUAUUUAUUAUUCUCCUCUUCUCACAUAUUUUUAUGUGUCACAAUUGCUUCCGUUGUGUGCGUAUUUUUUUGAGAUAACAAUUGGUAUCAAAACCCUAGGUUCAAGAAAUUGAUCCUGGGGUACCUAUGAAAUUGAAGAAUAGGCCAGACUACAAGGUCAAUUCUAGGCAUUUCCGCUAUCAGAGAGUUAGAGCACAAAGUUGUCGAAAAGUAUUUAGUUGAUUGUGACGACCUGGCCUUCUCCAAGGGGGUACCCUAAAAGUUGGCGGAUCGUCUGUCUGACUCUCGUUAGGACUCACUAAUUUCACAUUAAAUUCAGAGAUAACAUUUGAUAAACUCUCAUUAAUCUUGCAUUAACUUCAGAGAUAACAUUGUGGUAUGCUAAAACCACACGUUCAAAUCUUUUACAAUGCCAAGUUUAAUACAAAACUUCAGCCGUGGUAUGAUACGAUACUUUACAAUCACAAAAGACUUCAUGUUAACUCACUAAGCUCUCUCGUUCGUUUCUCGACCACCAACUCCUAUCAGGAAAACAAAACUAAAGGGUUGAACUAAAACUCAGUGAGAUUUCCAUGCAAGUAACAUUCAAUUAAACAUUUAAACAAGUAGCAAAAUUAGCAAUCAAGGAACACUUCACUAAAUGAAUUAGAGAACACUUCACUGAACAAUCACUUUUAAAUGAUACGGUGCUCGCAUUAGAGCCACUUCAAUGCACUACAUACUCCACCGAACCCCUCCUUAUAUUCUCCAAAACAAUAAACACUUCCCUCACUUAGAUGGCCAUAUCAAUAUCAGUAAUCUGCUACUCCGUGGUAAUACUCGAGCGUACCGAAACACUUAUCCAAAGUUACCGUCCUACCCGACCAAACCCUUUGCUGGCUCGAAUAAUCCGUUGAACAGAGGGUUUUGGGGCCCAGUUCAGCCGGUGUGGUAAAGUACACAUGCGGCUUACAGUCAUGCACACUUACAAUAACACUUGAUCAAUUAUCAACCUUCAAGUUCAAACUAAGUCAAGGGCGAUAAAGUACACUCCCGACUUAGAAGGCGAGGGACAAUUGAGAUACACUUUACAAUGAAUCACUAGCAAUAUUCCAUAAUAAGCACAUUUAUCACAUAAUUUCACUUAAGUAAACAUAAACAGUUAGACACAUAAAUUCAGAAACACUCACCAAGUUUCCAAAUAAAUUACUCUUGAGCCUCGAGUUUGUUUCCUGGCUCACAGCUAUUUCCUGGGACAAGUUAACAAUUUCAAAGUAAAUAUAUAAUUUGUAGGUGAUCACUUAUUAUUCUUAUCUUAUUAUUUAAACUAUUAAAAUCAAGUUUGACCUUAAAAUACAAAUAUAACAUACUCAGUAUUUAUUCAUCAUUUUAUUUUAAUACUUAUUGAUUUUAUCAUUUGUUACCUUAUAUGUUAAACAUAUUAAAGUCAUGUUUUAGUUUAGAACAAGAUAUAACAUAUUCAAUAUUUAUUGAUCAUUUUAACCAAGAGAUAUACAUGUUUUCCAAGGUUAUAAUUUAUUUAAAGUAAGAUUACACCAUUCCCUACUCUGUAUUCUAAAAUAAAAGUAAAUAAACUUUUCAUCCUUUCCUUUUUAAUUCCGAACCAAAUUCUAAGCUACCUAUGAUUUAAGUUUUGUAUCCACUCAUUCGUUUUUAGUUUUACAUCUCUUAUAUGCUUAUGAACGUAGUUUUGUAACCAGGUAGCUAGAAUGCAAGAUUUUAUAAAAGUUCAUUUUUCCUUUCAUCCGAUCCCAUAACAGGAUUUCAGCUCAAAUGUUCCUAAACCUAUAAUAACUUCAUCUUUUAAUUGCUUAAAAUUUAGUCACCUAAUAUAUAUUCCAUUCAAGGUGAUUAACUCAUAAUUUUAGCAUGUUGACUGAUCAUAUCAUAUCCAAGAUCUGUCAUCUACAAUUACCACCAUUAACUAAGCUUCCUACCAAUGUAUCAGCCCCAUAUUCAAUAUGUUUUCCCUUAAAUCUUUCCUUUCACUCUCAUGUUCCAACUAGCCAGGUUAGUUACAUUUAGCAAGCUACAAGGUAGCCUUAAAUAGAACGUAUAAAGUUGACAACUAAACUCAAAGGCUGCUCAAGACUCUCACCCUUCUCUCGGCCAUGAUGUACUCCAACAACUUAAUUCACAGCUUUUACUCUCUAAUUACUUCAGUUAACUCUAACUUAUGGUGCCAACAUGAUUACUAAUCACAGAGCAACCUCAGCUAUCAUCCGUGGACGUUUACUGAUGUAGAAACUGAAAGAAAAGCUGUUCAAGAGUUAAUUUUUCCCUUUCCAGCAUCACGGCAGAAUGCCUCAGCUUCCUUUUACCAAACUCAGCUGGUUUUUCCCUUUCCAUUCCUCCUCAGUUUUUUGUUCCAUAUCAUUGUACAAAGUAUAUUGAUUCAAUUACAAAUUAGCCUAAGCAAAACAGGGCAGUUCAUGACCAAAAUUCAAAAGGAAAACUGAAUGAAACUCAGCUCUGCGCAAGGCUGCAAAAUCUGAGGUACAGCAGCUUGCAUCAGAUUUCUUUCAUGUACGGUUCUCUCCACUUCAUGCUCACUGACUCCUACAACUAACCUCUUAUAAACUGGAGAAAGAAAAAGAUAAGCUGUUGCAUGCACUUCUUAACGUUAUUAUCCCAAGAAAUGUUGAUAUCAGUUGCAAGUUCAAGCUUAACACUCACUUUUCUGCAAUUUCUCUGAAAUUUUACAGUUGCUGCCCGACAUUUACUUUAGCCACAAGCUCAAAUUUCUAGCUAAAUUCAACAUGCAGCUGGUGUUUAAAGAUCUUACCUCUUUUCCUCUAGAGUUCGAUAAUGGCAGGCUGCUCUAACUCUCUCUUUGAUUCAGUUCCUCAACUCUUGCACCAGCUAUCUUUCCCUUCCUCACGUUUGAUUCGUGGUGUUGAGGUUACAGACAGGAGAAAUGAAGUGAGCCAAUGUUUAUCUCUCUCUCCCUCAAUCUCUCGGAUGCAGGCUGGUAGUAAUGUGAAAUCAGAAAUGUUUUCUUUUCCUCUCACUCGGUUGGGUUUUUGAGAUAAAUGGGUGUGACCGAAUCUCUCUCUCAGUUUUGUUCCUAAUGCUUGGUUGGUGGGAAGAGAAUUAAGCUUACUUCUUCACUCAGCUGAUCACUCAAUGUUUCUCCAUUCGGUGGAUGAUUAUUCCAAGAUUUCCCUCAUUCAGU
rnacentral:lncRNA from 1 species